UACGUAGGCAGCAAGCGUUGUUCGGAGUUACUGGGCGUAAAGAGUGCGUAGGUGGUGCCCUAAGUCUGUUGUGAAAUCUCCCGGCUUAACUGGGAGGGUGCGGUGGAAACUGGGGUGCUUGAGUGUGGGAGAGGUAAGCGGAAUUCCUGGUGUAGCGGUGAAAUGCGUAGAUAUCAGGAGGAACACCGGUGGUGUAGACGGCUUACUGGACCACGACUGACACUGAGGCACGAAAGCGUAGGUAGCAAACAGG
rnacentral:rRNA from 1 species